ensembl:lncRNA LINC00327 long intergenic non-protein coding RNA 327
GAGAAAUCUCCAAGUAUCUUAAUGCUUUCAGCGCUUCUCCAAUCUGACAAAUAUUUAUUCAGAUUCGAACUGACUGCCCAAGCUUCACUGCAGCUCCUCGUUUCCUGUUAGAUCUUUUUAAAAAUCUUUGCUUAAAACAUUGAAGGCUGAACGAUGAGCAAGAAAAUCUUGCCUGUGAAUAAGACACUGGGAACUGCACAGAAUCAACAUCAGCUCACAAGCUCAUCAUCUCACGCACGGAUUCCUGAGCACAUUCUCGCAUUCUUGCUCUUAAUCCUCCCUUGGCGACCUUCUACUCAGACAUCAUCUUUUAUGCAGAGAAGCAGGCACGUUUCUCAUCAUUAAUUCUGUUCUCAGCCAGGUGUGUAGCCACAGAGCAUACAGACCACAGGAUGAUUGAAAGCAUAUUGACUUUCCUGACUUCUUAUGACCACAUUUGAGGAAAGGAGUAAGCACUGGAAUCACCAACACAGCAUGCUUACGGAGGGUGGUCACCAGCUUCAUCAGCCUCCCAAUUCCACGGAGCCCCUUGAAAAUCCAGGAGCGCAGACUGGCAACAGUAGAGAUUUAAUAGUCACUGUUUUAUAGGGGAACUCGAGAAGCAGUCAGGAAGGAAGGUCUCGGAGGAGAUGGCCCUGAAACUGAAUCAGACUUUAAAAGAUAAGUUGGUCAACAGGGUUGGAGGGAGGGAGGGAAAAGAAGGUUUUGAAAGAUAGAUCUUUCAGAAAAAGCAAAUAACUUGGGCACAGACAUGGGCACAAAAAGGAAAAGAAAAGCCAGGGCAUUCAGAGAAUUGCAGAACAUUUUGCAUGACUGAGUAUAGGAAGCAAGAGAGGUCUUUUGAGAAAUACGACUGGAGAGGUGAUGAGGGGCCAGAUCUUGUGUUACACAAAGAACCUCUUAUGCCACACAAAGGAAUUUGGAUUUUUUUUUUCCUUUUAGGCAUAAGGAAGCCAUUGAAGGGUUUUAAACAGGAACAAUGUAAUCAGAUUUACUCUUUGGAAAUAAGAUCUCCUGGUUAGUUAAUGAACUCGUAUUUCUUUUUUUCUAUGUUAACCAUUGUUUUAUUGUUUGGUCUUUAGACUCUAUUAUUGAUUGAAAUGCCAAAGUGAUGGGAGUCAAGCGGCUUUGCCACUUAACCUUCCAAAGUUUGUUUCAUUUGCUUUUAAAAUAGUUAUUAUAUUACGUGCUUUGCCUUAUUAGUUUUGUGUACAAUUAAAGCGAGAUAAAGGCAGAGAAACUGGCUUGUAGUGCUAUUGCUAUGGACACCAUUAGUUGAUGUCAGAACAAUUACAGAUGAAUCAAUAUUUACUAUUGGACCAAUUACAGACAAAACCAGAAAAGAUUAGAUCUAGCACAAACUUUAUAAACUAUUGAGCCUUUCAUUUUAUUUUGCAUUUAAAAAUCCUUACAUCCGAGAUUCUGAAUUCUUUUAUCAGGGGUGUGGCCUGUGCAUUGAGAGUUUUUAAAGCUCUCCAGGUGAUUUUAAUAUGCAAUUAGAUUUGAGAACCAUGAUUUUAGACUUAAGGGGCUUUAGAAGUAAAUGUCUUUAAAUUCUGUGAUAAUACAUCAUUCAUAGGCUAUUCAGGCUGUACUAAAACAUAGAGAAAAAACAAAGACAAUUAUUGAGUUCAUUUUAUGAAGCAAGAACAAUCUUAAUAACAAAAGAUAAAAA